UCGGAUUUGUUUCUUUUAAGUAUAUAGUUGUUUAAUUGGUUCUGAGUAGUCUGACGUGAAUGAUCUAAAGUUUGUAAGAUUUAAGCUAUUUGGAUUUGAUUUAGUUAAGUAUUAGUAUAAAUUUUGAAUGUGUAUCAUCUUGAAUAUGGAAGAAUAAUAUAAAUGAAGAGAUAAACAAAUUAAACAGUUCGUUGGAAUUUGUUGCUUGAUUUAAAGUAGGUACGAGAUAAGAAUGUAAGAUAUUAGUGGGUCAAUCUAAUUGUUUCAC
rnacentral:lncRNA from 1 species